CCUACGGGUGGCAGCAGUGAGGAAUAUUGGUCAAUGGACGCGAGCCUGAACCAGCCAAGUAGCGUGAAGGAUGACUGCCCUACGGGUUGUAAACUUCUUUUAUAUGGGAAUAAAAUGUUCCACGUGUGGCUUUUUGUAUGUACUUUAUGAAUAAGGAUCGGCUAACUCCGUGCCAGCAGCCGCGGUAAUACGGAGGAUCCUAGCGUUAUCCGGAUUUAUUGGGUUUAAAGGGAGCGUAGAUGGGUUGUUAAGUCAGUUGUGAAAGUUUGCGGCUCAACCGUAAAAUUGCAAUUGAUACUGGCAGUCUUGAGUACAGUAGAGGUAGGCGGAAUUCGUGGUGUAGCGGUGAAAUGCUUAGAUAUCACGAAGAACUCCGAUUGCGAAGGCAGCUUACUAAACUGCAACUGACACUGAGGCUCGAAAGUGUGGGUAUCAAACAGGAUUAGAUACCCCUGUAGUC
rnacentral:rRNA from 1 species